rnacentral:tRNA from 1 species
AUAUAGCUCAGCGGUAGAGUGGCUGCCUAGCAAGCAUAAAGCCUUGGCUUCAAUCCCCAAUAU